GAUGAACGCUAGCGGCAGGCCUAAUACAUGCAAGUCGAACGGUGUAGCAAUACACAGUGGCGCACGGGUGCGUAACACGUAUGCAACCUACCUUACAUUGGGGGAUAGCCUUUCGAAAGGGAGAUUAAUACCGCAUAAGACAGUAACUAGGCAUCUAGUAGCUGUUAAAGAUUUAUCGAUGUAAGCUGGGCAUGCGUCCAAUUAGUUAGUUGGCGAGGUAAUGGCUCACCAAGACGAUGAUUGGCAGGGGAACUGAGAGGUCAAUCCCCCACACUGGCACUGAGAUACGGGCCAGACUCUUACGGGAGGCAGCAGUAGGGAAUAUUGGGCAAUGGGCGCAAGCCUGACCCAGCCAUGCCGCGUGCAGGAAGAAGGCGUUAUGCGUUGUAAACUGCUUUUAUACAGGAAGAAACGACCCUUGCGAGGGGCAUUGACGGUACUGUAUGAAUAAGCACCGGCUAACUCCGUGCCAGCAGCCGCAGUAAAAC
rnacentral:rRNA from 1 species